UCAGGUUGAGGGGGAAAAAGGACGUGUCAGAUCAACAUCGCCUUCCCUCAAUAGGCUGCUCUGCUCUGGAGCCGCAUCUGCAGACAACACAACUGUCCUACCGUCAGCCACGUCAAUUACCACAACUAGGUUGCACAUCCCGUUUCUACACAUCUUCCUGAGAAUCUUACACGAUUAGGCAAUGAUUGUUUCCAGGAAGCAGAGAGUGAGCGGAGGCAGAGAUAUCCCGCCCCAGACCUGCAGCCUUCGGUGUUCCCAGCACGUGCCCGCCACCAACCCGCUGGCACCAGCAGCUCUGUCACCCAGAAGGAAAAAUGUUUGGUUCAGGCAAGUGUGGCCACCCAGACAGCCAAGCCCAGGAGGAGCACGUCUUCCCGGCAUUGUCUGGGCACAGGCCGGGCAGAAUCCAGAUGGAAACAUGGAAAACAGCUGCUUUUCCAGGAUGUGUGAGGCCCCCAGACCUGCAGCUCCUGCCACGGAGAACUGGGACCAGUCGGUGAAAAACGGCCUGGAGCAGAGGGGCUGGCGGUUCCAGGGCCCAGGCAGCCGGGGGGCAGAGGGCAAGGGGCAGCGGCUCAGGAGGGAGGCUCGGUGCUGCCGUCCGCAAGGAAGCACAGCUGCCUCUUCUCACAUUAAUAAAAUUUUUAACAGGUUUUUGGCAACCUGGCAAGAAAAGUACAUGUAGUGCCUAAUUGGAGAUUUAAAUGCCGUUGUGAACAAACA